CUUGAAAGUGAAGAUCUCAUCCCUACUUUAUAGAGGAGGAACUAAGUUUGUGUGAGCACUGAAGCCUGUAUCCCUGUGGGAAAUGACAGUAUCAAACAUCCACGGAGAGCUGGAUGUGGGCCCAAGAAGCUGAAGCAGGAAGAUCUUGAGUUCAAGACCAGUAUGGGAAACAUAGCAAGACUCUGUCUUGAGAAAUCAAACUCACGGCUACACUCUCAUUUGUCUUAGACCUUCACUCACCCAGUAUCUCCUCAGCGUGCUG
ensembl:lncRNA